AUUGACCAGGUUUGUCGAUAUGGGCAAGAGUUUAUAAAAUUGGUGGGAGAUUGAGCAGGUCAUACGAUAGCCUUCUGACUGAUUUCGCUGCAUUGGCUAUAAUUGGCCAAAUGUAUGUAUAGAAGUACAUGCGGUGGGCAUGGACCAUGUACAACAUAGUCAUUACAUAGACAUACUCGCAUGAACGGCGGUCUACGGACAUGAGCAAUGACAAUCAGUAAGUUUAGCAGGAUCAUGAUGAAUGGCUAUGAUUGACCCGGAAAUUUUGACCUGCGUCAUGGCAAGUCCAGCCCUUUGAUGAAAAUACCUGCCUAAAUUGUGAAUCAUGCGUCGUGUAAUUAGAGCCAUUGAUCUUUGUGGGAUAUAUAUAGGGUUCAAAUGGGCUCCGUAUGAACUAGGGCGUUGGUUCAAGUGGUUUAUAGGGGCUCAGUCAGGCUUAGAAAUGGCAAAUCGUUGUGCAAAAAGAAGAGUAUAGCUGGAAGCAAGAAGAAUAGAGAUGCAAGCAGAGUCUCUCUUUGCAAGGAGAGUGGUCGAGGUCUUGCAAAUUAGAAGUUCCAAGUGUCAUUCAUCAAGCACACUAGUAAGGAGUGUAGUAGAAGGACAUAUUCACAUAGAUGCAAUGUCCUUUUCUCCCUUCCGAUUCAAUUUCCGAUAUCUUUCGUCAUCCUUCUUUCUCUUAUUCAGAAAAAUCUUUGUUAGGGGGCACAGACCAGUUGAUCAGAUUGAUAGAUUGUCCGUUUGCUCCAACCUUCCAAGGGUCUCAAUUUCUUCAUUGAACAAUCGACAAGCCACGUGCAUCCUCGCAAACUCAAAUCGAUAAGUUCAAACGACCAAUCUUUUACGUUCAUCCAUCCAAACCGUGCUCAUAAUCAACAAGGAUCCACCUAUUCAGCAUCGUUGUGAAAAUUACUGAUGUCUCAACCAAUGCCCAAAUGAAAAGGCCGAGCACAAGAAAGGCGUGCGUGUCCGAGACACGGAACAACGACAGACGAACCGACCCACUCUGUCGGGGGGGCAAAUCUUUUGGUCCGAAAAAGCAGCGUCUCCUUCCCUUUUUUUUUCCCCCUGGUGAAUUGCAAGGGGUGACAUCUUUCGCCUUUUAUUCAUCUACCCCGUUGUUUUGAUUCACUGCCUGCCUUUGUUAUGAAUGGGUUUGAAUGGAACUGGAUGUACAUCGAAACGACGAAAGGUCCAAGCAAACCAAAUUUCCUGUCGCAAUGAUGAUGACAAUGAUGAUUCUGCACUGACCAGAUCAAUCAUGACAACAACAUGCAUCCCCCCAUCCCCACCGGACUAUAAUUGCUCUCCCUACAGUGAAAAGGAUGACUCGUGCAACUGGGCACAAGUGAAGUGUUGGACUUGCAUUGCUCUUGCCUCUCUCUGUCUCUGUCUCUCUCUCUCUCUAUCGUCCUUUCCUCUCGAUGCGUCGUCCUUUUGGUUUCAUUAUUGCUCGAUAACAGCACGGUGGGGGUUCCUGUUGCUGAGGGCAAUAAUGAAGGAGCUCAGAGGGUGGAGAUAGAUCGAUGGGAUUCAAUGGAGAAGAAUUAUCGGAAGACCAAUUUGCACUGCGGUUCUCAGCUUUCCUAAACCAGAGAAAAGGGAAAUUCAUCUCCUACGAAUUUUGAUUUCGAGCCGCGUGGAUUUGAUUAAUUGUCGAGACAAGGAGACGGGAGAAUUAAUUGCCUAGACGGGAGAAAAAAAGCUAAGUAUGCCAACCAACUUCGCAACCCGGGGAGUUUUAGGAACAUAUACUAGUGUUGGGAUACGAAAACAAUACGAGAUUUUUUGCUAACAAUUGUCUUCGGACGCUUGUUAAACAUCCAGGCAAGAAAAUUUCG